rnacentral:tRNA from 3 species
CGUGGAGUAGAGAAGUGGUCAUCUCGCUAGGCUCAUAACCUAGAAAUCGUCAUAAACGGUUCGAAUCCUACCUCCGCAA